UCAAAUUCUAUAUAAAUUUUUCGAAUUUUAAAUAUAUUUUUCGAAUUUGAUUAGAUUAUUAUUAUUAAAUAUAUGAUUAGUUAGUAUAUUAAUGUUGAAUUUAGGAUUACUAUAUUACUGUUGAAUUUAGGGUUACUAUAUUGAUGUUGAAUUUAGGGUUACUAUAUUGAUAUUGAAUUUAGGGUUACUAUAUUAUUGUUGAAUUUAGGGUUAGUAUAUUGAUGUUGAAUUUAGGGUUAGUAUAUUAAUGUUGAAUUUAGUAUUAUUGAGACAGUCACUGGUGAUGAGAGUGCAUAGUAAAUGUAUCCUAGAUAUAGUCUUCCUACUGUACAUGCCAUCUGAUGUUGAAUACUGGCUGGUUGGAUUUGUCUAUUACUUAUCUUAAUCCAUUCACUUUGUUGAAUAUCUUAAAACUAUGGUCUCUUAGUGCCUGCAUAUUGCAGUUAGAUCAAUAGUAGAUACUAUUGAAAUCAGUUCUUAUCAAGAACUGAAGGAAUCCAGAGAUAGAUCUCAUCCUUAGAAUGCGAGGAAGGGACUUGUACCAGGUAUACAUUGAGGAAAGACAGGUCCAGAUAAAAGUUGUUGACCAGUGGUUCUAUUAUCAUUUCUUCAUUCCCUAAAUAUUGUUUCAAGCUAACUAUAAGGCAAGUCUUGAAGUAUUUUUUAAAAUGUUCAAUAGUUCUGUAAUGACUAAUGAGUUUGCUGUACCAAAGGAGAAGCUGGAGCAUUUCAGAAAUGUCACUUCUCAAGAUAUAAUUUGUUCCCAGAAGUCUGAUGGAAGUGCACCUAUGCUAAAGGAGGAAGUCAGGAAGAUAUAGUUGUAACUAAUGUCAAAAUUUAUUUGACUCGUGGAAGAAAAAAAUCUGCUUGAAUGGACCGGGUAUUAGCUCAUGGAAUACUUGUUCAUAUCAUCAUUGACAGCUUGUGUUGUAUUCACUUGUGGAAAUAACACAUCCUUCUGUUGUGGGCACAGUGAAUUGUUGAUUAUAUUUUGAAGUAGAUGAUGAAUUGUUGUGUAUUUUGAAAUACUUAUGUGUAGAAGAUGAUUGUAUUAAUGAAUUGAUGCUUUUGCAUUUAUGGAGUUGAUUAAAUUGUUAUUGUUA